UGGGCAACCUGCCCCAGACUCAGGGAUAACCCCGGGGAAACCGGGGCUAAUACCCGAUACUCCGGUCGAACCACAUGGCUCGAUCGGGAAAGCUCCGACGGUCUGGGAUGGGCCCGCGGCCUAUCAGCUUGUUGGUGGGGUAACGGCCUACCAAGGCGACGACGGGUAGCUGGUCUGAGAGGGCGACCGGCCACACUGGGACUGAGACACGGCCCAGACCUCCGUACGGGAG
rnacentral:rRNA from 1 species